UGUCAGUCACAGCAGUUACCAAAAUAAAAUUGCUAACUUUGAUAUUUAGUUUUUUAUUUUAGUAAAGGAUCUUAUCUUGCAGAACCAGGUGGCACUCUUCUGAAAAUGUGGCAAAACCACAGCAAUGUUUUACUUGGCACUGCUCACCACGUUUUUAAAAGAGGAAUGAAAAAUACCCACUGUGAGCGUCUAUUUCCACUGAGGGAGAUCCUACCUGGCUGGACUCGGUGUAUGGCAGAGCGGCUGAAGCCAACAGUGGUGUGAGUGAAGGAAAGAAACAAGGAUUAGACCAUGAGAGCAACAGGUGCUUUUUGCAAUAUGAAGAGAAGAAUUCAGAAUCAUAUCUGGAAGUUACCCAGAAUUAGGGAAUGAUGACUCGGCUGAGUGAAUACACUACCAGGAAUGAAUUGCUGCCAGAAAAACUUUUAAAAACUGUCCUUUCCAAAACUGUCACACUUUGUUAUGUCAACAUUAAACAUGAAUAGAAGCAUUUUAAUAAAGAAUUGCUAAGCUUUACAGAAUGUUGUUACAGAA
rnacentral:lncRNA from 1 species